AAGAAUUUAGCAUGUUUGAUUUUGUUGAGUGAUUUACAUAUCACUGCUUUGGAAAAAUAAAUGAAAACAGAUUAAUUGCUAGCCAACUCAUUGGUAUGACUAUGAAGGAAAAUAAUUUAUUAUCCUUUAUGUCUGAUUCCAGUAUAGGUAUCAAGACAAUCCACUGGGAUCUCCUUCUGAUCCUUUCUGAUUUCCUUUACAAAAUUAGGUUUAUGACUGGAGUACACAAAAACUCUUAUGGUGUACUAUAAAUAUCUUUACACUGAAGGCUUUUCUUUGAAGAAAAUAUUUCCUCAUUUCUCUUCUCACUUACCUCUGUCCUUUGAGUCCUUUCUAUUAUCUGAUCUUUUCUGGAUCAAGUUCAUUUUGCAAAUCUGGAUAAUUAAGCUCAAGCCCAGUGAAUGUUCCAGCCCUGAUCAAUCCAUACCAAGUUGUGCCACUGGAUCUGAAUGGCCACUGGGGAAAACAUUCAACCAUGCUCUGGGUGUAAGCGAAGCUGCAGAUGCUCCUACAGGCAAAGUGUUGUACUUCUGUAUGCACAUGGACCCCACUUACUUUAACAUACCCUUCCAUUGGAGCAAAUGCCCCAAUGUGGGGAGAGUCAAAAACAUACAUAAAGAAAACAGAACCAGCUUAAGCCCUAACCCCAGGGUUUCUGCUCCAGCAAUUUAGGAUUAGACCCUCCCUCCCCUGACACAGCAUCUCCUUUACUUUCUUUGUUAUGUGUGCACUUUCCUAUUUGAUUGUGUGAUUUGAUGAUGGCCCCUGAGCAGAGAGAUGUCCUGCUUCACAUGCUUCACUGACUCUAACCUCUCCCAUAUCCAGUCACACCCAUUACCAAGGUGAUAGGUACAAGCAUGCCCAAAGACAUGAUUAGGUAUGCAUCAAAAUGAACCCUCCCACCAAAGGCAUUGAAUACACAGAGCCUGUAUAAGGAUGCUCAUAUAGGAACACUCUUUUGAGACCACAAUAGGGAACAGUUUCACCUAACUUCAUAGAGCCAAUGAAAAGUAAAGCAAAAAGAAAAGGCAGAGGAACUACUUGCAUAUGGAAAAGAAAAAGCAAACCCCUGAAAAAAUAAUAAAAAAAAGAGGAGAAGGGAAUGGGAUGGAAAGAAUUUGGGGUUAAUAGAUGGAAACUACUGCCUUUAGAAUGGAUAAGCAAUGAGAUCUGUAUAGCACUGGGAACUACAACUAGCCACUUAUGGAGCAUGAUAUUGUGAGAAAAAAGAAUGUGUGACUAGGUCGCCUUGCUGUACAGUAGAAAAUUGACAGAACACUGUAAACCAGCUGUAAUAAAAAAAAUAAAAAAUAAUUUAAAAUUCCAACAAAAAAUAAAUACCAAAUGUUUUCAAAACACUGGUAAUAAAAAUGUCAAGUUGGUAUAUUUUACCAUAGAAUCCUAUCUCAGCAAUAAAGGAAUUAAUUAGACAUAUUCAAAAACAAAG
rnacentral:lncRNA from 9 species